rnacentral:rRNA from 1 species
GAUGAACGCUAGCGGGAGGCUUAACACAUGCAAGUCGAGGGGUACGGUAGCAAUACUGGAGACCGGCGCACGGGUGAGUAACGCGUAUGCAACCUGCCCUUUACAGGGGGAUAGCCCGUCGAAAGGCGGAUUAAUACCCCAUAAGAUAGUACCCUCGCAUGAGGGAGCUACUAAAGCUUCGGCGGUAAAGGAUGGGCAUGCGUGACAUUAGCUAGUUGGUAGGGUAACGGCCUACCAAGGCUACGAUGUCUAGGGGUUCUGAGAGGAAGGUCCCCCACACUGGUACUGAGACACGGACCAGACUCCUACGGGAGGCAGCAGUGAGGAAUAUUGGUCAAUGGGCGCGAGCCUGAACCAGCCAUCCCGCGUGCAGGAAGACGGCCCUAUGGGUUGUAAACUGCUUUUGUGCAGGAAGAAUGUGCCCAUCGUGAUGGGUAGUGACGGUACUGCAUGAAUAAGCACCGGCUAACUACGUG